rnacentral:sRNA from 1 species
CAUAUAAAGAGGAUUUACAACGAGGUCAUGAAGAAAUGUUAGAAACAGCAGAAUAUAAUGUCAUCACCAAAACAAUUGCAUUAAAUCAUGGAUCAG